rnacentral:rRNA from 1 species
UACAGAGGGGGCAAGCGUUGUUCGGAAUUACUGGGCGUAAAGGGCGCGUAGGCGGCCUUCUAAGUCGAACGUGAAAUCCCCGGGCUCAACCCGGGAACUGCGUCCGAUACUGGAAGGCUUGAAUCCGGGAGAGGGAUGCGGAAUUCCAGGUGUAGCGGUGAAAUGCGUAGAUAUCAAGUGGAACACCAGUGGCGAAGGCGAGUCUCUGGACAUUUCCUGACGCUGAGGCACGAAAGCCAGGGGAGCAAACGGG